rnacentral:rRNA from 1 species
UACAGAGGGGGCAAGCGUUGUUCGGAAUUACUGGGCGUAAAGGGCGCGUAGGCGGCCUUCUAAGUCGAACGUGAAAUCCCUGGGCUCAACCCAGGAACUGCGUCCGAUACUGGAAGGCUUGAAUCCGGGAGAGGGAUGCGGAAGUUCCAGGUGUAGCGGUGAAAUGACGUAGAUAUACUGGAGGAACACCGGUGGCGAAGGCGGCAUCCUGGACCGGCAUUGACGCUGAGGCGCGAAAGCUAGGGGAGCAAAGCGGG